rnacentral:rRNA from 1 species
AUUGAACGCUGGCGGCAGGCCUAACACAUGCAAGUCGAGCGGAGCGGCGGACGGGUGAGUAAUGACUAGGAAUCUGCCUGGUAGUGGGGGAUAACGUCCGGAAACGGGCGCUAAUACCACAUACUAUCAGAUGAGCCUAGGUCGGAUUAGCUAGUGGGGGGGGUAAAGGCCUACCAGGGCGACGAUCCGUAACUGGUCUGAGAGGAUGAUCAGUCACACGGGAACUGAGACACGGUCCAGACGCCUACGGUAGGCAGCAGUGGGGAAGAUUGGACAAUGGGCGAAGGCCUGAUCCAGGCAUGCGGCGUGUGUGAAGAAGGUCGUCGGAGUGUAAAGCACUUUAAGUUGGGAGGCGUUACCAACAGAAUAAGCACCGGCUAACUUCGUGCCAGCAGCCGCGGUAAUUC